ACCUCUUUUCCAAGCUAAUUGCGGAGCGUGUUCCCUGCAGUGGCAGCCUGAGCCUGACUCCAGUCUCACACCAAUAAAACCUCGGUACCAACCUGGGUCAGGAGCCCAGCCCCUGGGAAGAGGGAAUUUAGGGAAGGGGGAAACAAGCUGGGGUUUCCCCCAGGGGAUGCGGUGCAGCAGCGAGGUGAGGCAGCAGCCCACCGGUGGCUGCAGGAUGGCUGCUGGGUGGCUGGGAGACCAGAGGGGCCAUUACUGGGGCUGUGAAUAAUUUUAGGGGGAUGUUAUCAAAAAUGGGAUGUGCCUAUGGUAAGGGGAAGCAUCGAGCCCACCGUAGCCGGAAUCAUGGGUUUGGUAUUGAAUUUUGGUUGUGUUGUUGUAAAAUGAAGCUUGGGGGGUUGCCUGUAGGAACCUAAGGGUACCCAAACGGGUCAGUCAUACCCAAGCCGCUUCAAAAGGUUGUUUCUGCCAUUUGGCCUCCAGUGACGGGGGUCACACCACAACACCCCUCACCCGGGCGCUCCCGUGAGUCACCCUCCUGCCAGCAACGAGGACUUUUCCAACAGGGGGCCCACGGAAAGGCCGUGUUUGUGUCGUUCAGCAAGGUCACUCAACCCCCAGCCAUGAGCACGACUCCAAGGCCUUCUGCAGAAGACAUCCGUGAGAACAGGCUUUCCAGUGCAAUGAAAGCCCAGGACAGUCUCCAGGACUCCUCAGAGGAGCAGCCUCCCAUGUGAGUUUGUAAUCUACCCAGGAACUCCUCAGCUCAUCCACCUCAGUGUGGCUUCCUCGGAGCAAACCCAAGACAACACUUCCUAUGCCUCGAAUGCCUGGCUUCCCUUCUAUUACAAUACGUGAAGCAGCACAGCAUUUUAUAGAGACAUAAAAGCUUGUACGGGGCACGACACCCUCGUCAGAAGUAAUCUGCCUUUCAGUGAAUGGCCUUACUUCCAUACUCAGAUAAUUUGCCCCCAGAUAAUUUUUUUUUUUCUCUGUAGCUGGAAAUAUAACACUCCAUUUGUUCCCUUAGGAGAACGGUGUGAGAAAAAAAAAAAAAAAAAAAAGCUAUCAGUGAGCAAAUAUUUGGUGGCAAAGUCAAAUGAAUGAUGUUCUUUUGAGAUAAAUUCUCUUUCCUUACAGCUGAGUAGACAGAGAUUAAGAUAUACGAAUCCGGGCUCCUUGCCAAUUCCUCCCCAUCUGCUGUCAGGAACAAAUGCUUCGUUAUUUGGCUCAGUGCGGUAGCAAAGAGCAGCGGAGAGGGCAGUGGGCCAUGGCCAUGCCCUCUCGUUGGUGUUUCUCCACCCACAGAAGCUGCUUUUUCCUGAAACUUCCAGCCCCAAUGCUCCGUGUUAGUGACAGGGAGAGGGCCAGGGCUGGCUUGCCAGCAGCGGUGCAUAAAGAGAGCACCAUUCAGGGAAGAACGUGUGGAUAGAAGAGAAAUGGAGGAAGAUGGAUACGUGAGGCUUGUGAAAAACAAAGAUGAAAUCUGAGAGAAGCUGCAAACAAUCAACACAAUGGCAGCCACCAGCACAAGAUACAGGACUUGCUACAACCCAAAUUUAUCACACAACUCAGAGCAAUGAGUGCAUGGGUUGCGUACUCAGCUGCAUGCAUUUUUCAUUCAGCCUGAUCCCACAAACAUACAGAUGUCCUUUAUUAAGUCUUUCCCACCGCAUCAGAGGUGCUGAGGCACUAGCGGACUCAUCUGUGGAUUGUCUGUAAUCACUUCCAGAUUCCCAAAUCUUGGCAGGCCGAGCUACCAGGGGUUGCUCUUCUUUUGGCUUGCAAAGCUCCUGGAGCAUACAGUGUGCUCCAGUCACAAACACAGCACUCAGAGGCACCGUGGUCCACGUGAACCCACAGACUGGGUGCACUGUCAGCCUACCAGACUACCCUUCUACACCCAUUCAUCUACGUGAAGAGGGAACUGUAUAAAAUUCUCAUCCAUGAUGAAAAAGCAUCCUCAAACAUACCAUACGUAUCCAGUUUGGGUAUCUCUGAAUACAGCACGGCAGGCGCCAGCAUUGUAUAACGCCAGAAUAAUAACCACACCUUCCACACUUAAAUUUUCUACUGUUUUAAUUCUAUUUUUAAUUCAAGUAUUCUGCACAUUGCAAAGCCACUCUAGUAGGAGACCACUUAAUCUGCAAAAAAAGCUGACUUGUGAGAAUCUUGUCCCUGGCAGAUUUGGGGUUGUGCUGCCUUUCUUCGUCAUGGUGGCACUGCACCAUAUUUCUUCGUGUUCAAAUCUAAACAUGGAAAACAAAAAGAUCUCUUCCUGAGCAGUCCAAAGCAAGCAUUACAGACCUACCCGCCACGUGGGAGUGUUUACAGAUGAUUUUCCUGGUAAGAAUCUCAUGGCUGAGGUUUGCCUUGUUAGCAAAAUAACACCUCAAGUGAGAUUCUUUUCUCGACAGCCACUAUUUUCAGCUCCUACACGUCUGCAUGCUGAUGGUGUGUGUGCAGUGUACCGCGAUUUCCAGAGAAAAGGUCACUGAGAACACCUUUAUCUUUUUGCCAAAACUUUCUGAGCAUUUGUGUCUCUUCCCUAUGUAAAUUACACGCACUGAUAUUUUCACAUCUGAGCAACCGUCCUCCCACCAGUCUUAAACCGAAGCAGCAAUGUUGUGUUUAUCUGUAAUUCACAUAACCUUACUGGCUUUGGUGGGUAUGGAAGAUAUGAAUCAGGAUGUAAUCUGAAAUUUCCAGAUUCCUCGGAUUUAUAACGUAUUUGUUACAAACAAUAACAGAGAUGAUAACUCCCCUGGCUGACGUUUUAUAUCAAUUUUUGACGUCCUAAUCCCACUGAUUGUUAUUUUAAUUAAAUCUUAGAGUAGCCUCCAUUUUGUUACUGAUUGGGACGUAUUGAUAAAAAUACUAAAAGCAUGUGAAAUAAUGCCUGCGCCAAGUUCCGAAAGGAGAUCUUACACAAAAGUGAAUAGGAAGACCACCCACUCCCGGUGCUCCCCUUCCCCUGAGUCAUUUCAGCACUCCCAGCUUUGCAAAGGGCAGCGGCGGCACCUAUGAAAGAGCUUUGGCUGCAAACAAGGGCAAAUAACAUUAUUAAACCAGUCUGUGGGUGUGAGCUGACAAAACUACAUAUUGCAGAGUCCCUACAGUCUACCCAUUAUAACAUUGCACCUCGUGAUUUUUUUUCAUCCUUCAAAUUUCGAUACUCAGAUGCCCUUUAGAAAGCAAAAGGACUUCUUUGUCGGAGCAGUUGCAGUUUAUUUUUUUUUUAAACUUUGGACCAUUCUGAUAUUCUCAGAGUUAAAAAAAAAAAAAAAAAAAAAAAAAAAAAUCUACUCUGUUUUGUGCUGUCCUCCCUCUCCACCCCUCUUUCUUCCUCUUCUGUCUUCCACACGCUUGCCCGAUCCCUUGCUUCCUCUUUCCGACCUCACAGCAGUUUAAUGAAGAACGCGUUUCCCCGGUGCGCCCAUAAGGGCAUCACGUG